rfam:Clostridium sp. CAG:221 genomic scaffold, scf170
GAGAACUAACAAUUUGAGAGAUGUAGAAUGAAGGAGUAACGUCCCGAAAUGCACCCCUAAUACUCCGACAUGCAGGAAUUUGGGUAGACAAUGAACUGUGUGGAGCUCGGUGAAGACGGCUGAGAGUACACCCUAACAUGGUAUCUAAGAUAGCAUAGAGGAAAAGCGAACCAGAGGUGGUCGAGUGUAUGAUAGGUCGGGGGUCCAUAAA